UGAAUACGAGACGCUAAGGCGUCGAAGUAGUGUAUGUCAUACUUCCAAGAAGAGCUUGCACUGUCAUAGAUAAAAAACGCCUGUACCAUAACCGACACAGGUGGGUAGGUAGAGUAUACUAAGGGGCGCGAGAUAACUCUCUCUAAGGAACUCGGCAAAAUAACUCCGUAACUUCGGGAGAAGGAGUGCCUUAUUCGUAAGGUUGCAAUAACAAGAUCCAAGCAACUGUUUAUCAAAAACACAGGUCUCCGCUAAGUCGUAAGACGAUGUAUGGGGGCUGACGCCUGCCCAGUGCCAGAAGGUUAAAGAAGUUGGUUAGCAAUUGCGAAGCUGAUAACUGAAGCCCUGGUGAACGGCGGCCGUAACUAUAACGGUCCUAAGGUAGCGAAAUUCCUUGUCGGGUAAGUUCCGACCCGCACGAAAGGCGUAAUGAUUUGGAUACUGUCUCGGAGAGGGGCUCGGUGAAAUAGACUUGUCUGUGAAGAUGCGGACUACCUGCACCAGGACAGAAAGACCCUAUGAAGCUUUACUGUAACUUGAAAUUGAAAUUGGACUUUAUUCGCGCAGUAUAGGUGGGAGGCGUUGAUUAUAAUCUUGUGGGAUUAUUGGAGCCAUCAGUGAGAUACCACUCUUGUAAUGUUAGAUUUCUAACUUUGAAUCAUUAUCUGGUCAAAGAACAGUUUCAGGCGGGCAGUUUGACUGGGGCGGUCGCCUCCUAAACGGUAACGGAGGCGUACAAAGGUUUCCUCUGAACGGUUAGAAAUCGUAUCUAGAGUGUAAAGGCAUAAGGAAGCUUGACUGUGAGACCUACAAGUCGAGCAGGGACGAAAGUCGGUCUUAGUGAUCUGACGGUACUGAGUGGAAAGGCCGUCACUCAACGGAUAAAAGUUACUCUAGGAUAACAGGCUGAUCUCCCCCAAGAGUUCACAUCGACGGGGAGGUUUGGCACCUCGAUGUCGGCUCAUCGCAUCCUGGGGCGGUAGUACGUCCCAAGGGUUGGGCUGUUCGCCCAUGAAAGCGGUACGCGAGCUGGGUUCAGAACGUCGUGAGACAGUUCGGUCCAUAUCCGGUGUAGGCGUUAGAAUAUUGAGAGGAGCCUUCUUUAGUACGAGAGGACCGAGAAGGACAUACCUCUGGUGUACCAGUUAUCGUGCCAACGGUAAACGCUGGGUAGCUAUGUAUGGAGUGGAUAACCGCUGAAAGCAUCUAAGUGGGAAGCCCACCUCAAGAUAAGUAUUCUCA
rnacentral:rRNA from 1 species